rnacentral:lncRNA from 1 species
AAAGAUUAAGAUAAACAAAUGCAAUUUCCUGAAAUGUAUGGAUACACGUAUUGCCUCACGUGCCAAUUACUGUUGCGAAAAGGUGUGUUCUGUUCUCCACUUUGAUUAGCAUGAGAAAAAGAAUGAAAUGUCUUUUCUUGUUUUAAGACACAUGCUAUAUAUGCAUAAAAUGCUAGAUGUUUGAUGCUUCGAGUUUUAUGUACCGGCAGGGUUUAAAGCUUCAUGCAUGCUAUCAAGAGGCUUUUGAUGCGUUCUCAGAAUUUCUUUUCCUUUCCGUUAUUCUUAUCCAUUUUACGGCCAGCGCAAGAAUUGAAGGAUCGGUCGACCCUGAUAUUCUAUACUUAUAUAAAACUAGUAAUAUUAUUCGAUUAUUGAAUCAACGGCCUUGCUGCUUCAGGCUCUGAUACCUGAAAACGAUAGUAACAUCAGGGAAUGAGUAUGAUAUCGGAGAGCAGGCACUGCCUUGUUGAAGUAGAGGUGGACUCGGGGACAAGUGACGGUAAAUUAAAGCAGAAUCUGAAUAAAGCAAAUCACAUCUCUUGUUACCAAGUGUCAUUGUGUUCAAAGGAACAAGCCAUCUAGAAUCGAUCAAAAGUUGGGAAUAAAAAAUUUAGAUAAUAGAAUUGUUGAUUUGAUAUGAAGUGCACGAAUGCUAUCUUUAAUGGCUUUGUCUGAAAGAUUAUGUCAAAUGCAUCAUGUAGCUAGUUCGCAAGCACUAUAAGUAACUCUUAGCUAAAGGCUUCAUAAGAAAUGGAAUCUUGGUUCUUAGGGAAUCAAGUUGAUAUUACACUAUUCUGAAUCUUCUUCCUCAAUCGCUCAGCAAAUUGCAAGAAAAAGUAGAAAAAGAAAUAUUAGGUUAAUAUACAUUAGAGAUGCUCUUCUCAAGAUAUGAUAUUGCAUUCUAGCUAGAAAGAUGAUUCAUGGUUGGUAUUCAUUAACCACACAUAACAAUAUGUCAGCAACUUGUUAAUUAAGUUGCCCCUGCAUUAAUUCUCCACAUGUGUGAACUAUUGAAGGAUGCCAUCUUCUUGAUUGUAUUUAUAAAUUCUCUUAGAAAAAUAAUAAGGAAGAAUCCUUUUCUUUUUCUUCUAGUAAUCAUCAUGUUAUUGAAAAUUUUAAUAGGGAAGAAUCUUGCAGCAAACAAGAAACUAAAAGAAAAAUGUUGAUUUAAUUGGAAAUUAUUUAUCUAAAAGUGGAGAAAGUAAUAUCAUCAUCCUCUUGUAUGCUGUAUUGCUCCUUAUACAUGAAUAUGACAAUCCAAAAAUGAGACUGACUGCAGAUCGGAAAAUCUCCAUCAAGCGUUGUCGCUCAAUUUAAUUGAUUCUUCAGCUUUGCUUUCUUGUAAUAUUUCAUAUGACAUCAACCAUAUUUUUCAUUGUAUAGAUUAGACAACAAAUCCAGGAUAACAAAAAUUAUGAACUUGGUUUUUCAAUCGCUACAGGAUCAAGAUCAUAGUACUUGGUCUUUCAAUCGCGACAGGACCAACAUCAUAGUUUAGUCAUUUGAUGAAUUAUCAAUGUCUAGAGACAACUGUAUUCAACGUUCUGUAAUCUUUUUAGCUGGUUUACUAUGUAUAAGUAUGAGCCCACCGUUCUGCAACUAUAAUAGUGGUUUUUUUUUUUUUUCAUUUUUUUUUUUCCGAAUUAUGUUCCGACCGCAGUUUGAAUAACUCAUAAACAUCAUCAAAUCCCUACAAAAGAAGAAUCCAUUACCACUAAGCGAAAACUAAUGUAUCGUGUGCAGGAAAAGUUGUUUUCUGAGAACGAGUUUAACAUAUCAUAUUCGCUAUUCCUCUACUCCACAUAUAGCUAAACCUUUCUAGAUACAUACAGGGCAAGAUCUUAUACACGAGAAGGAAACUAAUCCAAGAUUUCAUGAGACCAGCUAUAGUAAUAUUCUGCUGUGUAAGAUUGCAGCCACCUUUGCAAUGAUUAAUGAAAGUGCAC